rnacentral:rRNA from 1 species
GACGAACGCUGGCGGCGUGCCUAAUACAUGCAAGUAGAACGCACAGUUUAUACCGUAGCUUGCUACACCAUAGACUGUGAGUUGCGAACGGGUGAGUAACGCGUAGGUAACCUGCCUGGUAGCGGGGGAUAACUAUUGGAAACGAUAGCUAAUACCGCAUAAUAUUGAUUAUUGCAUGAUAAUUGAUUGAAAGAUGCUAUUGCAUCACUACCAGAUGGACCUGCGUUGUAUUAGCUAGUAGGUGAGGUAACGGCUCACCUAGGCGACGAUACAUAGCCGACCUGAGAGGGUGAUCGGCCACACUGGGACUGAGACACGGCCCAGACUCCUACGGGAGGCAGCAGUAGGGAAUCUUCGGCAAUGGACGAAAGUCUGACCGAGCAACGCCACGUGAGUGAAGAAGGGUUUCGGAUCGUAAAGCUCGGUUGUAAGAGAAGAACGGGUGUGAGAGUGGAAAGUUCACACUGUGACGGUAUCUUACCAGAAAGGGACGGCUAACUACGUG